GCCCUCCUAGCUCAAUCGGAAGAGCGUGGGACUUUUAAGAAAUCGCUUCUGGCUCAGUGCGAGAACCUUAAGUUAAUCCCAAGGUCGUGAGUUCGAGCCUCACGGAGGGCG
rnacentral:tRNA from 1 species